GCGCGGGUGCCCCUGCUCAAAAGGCUCGGUGAGCAGAGCGCCAGAGCACACUGCACUGUCUCCUCCUCCUCUUCUUCUUCGCUAAGUACUGUAGAACAUAGUUGUGGAAAAUAUUUUGAUCUGAUCACGAUGGAAUGGACACAAUGGCUGCAGGGAAGUUCAUGAACGAUCACCCUUGCUUGACCGCGGUGUUCGGGAUGGUCGGCGCCGGGCUGGCCGUGGCAGCUUUCUACGUGCUGAUUGAGGGGAUUUGCCGCUGGAUGGAGAGCAAGAUCAGGCCCAUCAACAACGCCCCAGUUGUGCCAGUAGCAGUGGCAGGGUGAUGGACUGAUGGUUUAAGUUGAGCAACCGCUCGGCGAUCGAUCUGCACUGCAGCAGCAACAUACUUACUCCAGUAGGCCAAGUCUGUAAAUAGUUAAGCAUGCGUGCACUAAGUAGUAGCAGCAGUACCGACUCUCCAGUCUUGAUGCUGCCGGUUUUCGGAAUCCAGGAACGAGCACCCGCGACUUCAAACUUAAUUCGUGCUUGCAGAUCUCUGAUCUCUUAUAUACAAGAGAGACUUAAGUAUUGAACCUUUAAUCCUUGAUCCACCAUUGAUGCCCGUGUUACGAUAUAUGGGAGUUAUUCUCAGCUAUGAAGUUAUCAUGAACUUACUAUGUGAGUUGCCA